rnacentral:rRNA from 1 species
GACGAACCGUGCGAACGUUGUUCGGAAUCACUGGGCUUAAAGAGCGCGUAGGCGGGCUAUCAAGUCCGGGGUGAAAUCCUCCAGCUCAACUGGAGAACGGCCUCGGAUACUGAUGGUCUCGAGGGGGAUAGGGGCACACGGAACUGUGGGUGGAGCGGUGAAAUGCGUUGAUAUCCAUAGGAACUCCGGUGGCGAAAGCGGUGUGCUGGAUCCCUUCUGACGCUGAGGCGCGAAAGCCAGGGGAGCAAACGGGG